GAUGAACGCUGGCGGCGUGCCUAAUACAUGCAAGUCGAGCGAACAGACGAGGAGCUUGCUCCUCUGACGUUAGCGGCGGACGGGUGAGUAACACGUGGAUAACCUACCUAUAAGACUGGGAUAACUUCGGGAAACCGGAGCUAAUACCGGAUAAUAUAUUGAACCGCAUGGUUCAAUAGUGAAAGACGGAUUUGCUGUCACUUAUAGAUGGAUCCGCGCCGCAUUAGCUAGUUGGUAAGGAAACGCCUUACCAAGGCAACGAUGCGUAGCCGACCUGAGAGGGUGAUCGCCCACACUGGAACUGGACCACGGCCCAGCCUCCUACGGGAGGAAGCGUUAGGGAAUCUUCCGCAAUGGGCGAACGCCUACCGGGGCACGCCGGCGUGAGUGAGGAAGGUCUCCGAACCUAAAAACUCUGUUAUUAGGGAGGACCAAAUGUGUAAGUAACUGUGCACGCUUUGACGGUACCUAACCAGAAAGCCACGGCUAACUACGUG
rnacentral:rRNA from 1 species